rnacentral:lncRNA from 1 species
GGCCAUUAAGCAUGUCGUAGAUGACUGACCAUUCCCUUUUUAGACACCUAAUCCGAGAUUCAAUAUUUGGCUUCGCCUUCAACAUUGCUCUUGGUAAAGCCUUUUCUAGCAUUUUUCCUAGCUCGUUCAAAUAACUGGCCUUGAACCCGGUAUCAGCAUUAAAUGUUCCUACAUUGUGCAAAUCCACCAUGCAAGAAACCAAGACUGCAUCUUCUUCUGGAAUCCAUUUUCUUUUGCUUCCUCGAGAAGCUUGAGAAGAAGCAUGUGAUUGUGGAACACCUGAC